AAUAUUGCACAAUGGGCGCAAGCCUGAUGCAGCCAUGCCGCGUGUAUGAAGAAGGCCUUCGGGUUGUAAAGUACUUUCAGCAGUGACGAAGGUGGGUAUGUUAAUAGCAUACUCAUUUGACGUUAGCUGCAGAAGAAGCACCGGCUAACUCCGUGCCAGCAGCCGCGGUAAUACGGAGGGUGCGAGCGUUAAUCGGAAUUACUGGGACGUAAAGCGCAUGCAGGUGGUUUGUUAAGUCAGAUGUGAAAGCCCGGGGCUCAACCUCGGAAUUGCAUUUAGAAACUGGACAAACUAGAGUACUGUAGAGGGGGUAGAAUUUCAGGUGUAGCGGUGAAAUGCGUAGAGAUCUGAAGGAAUACCGGUGGCGAAGGCGGCCCCCUGGACAGAUACUGACACUCAGAUGCGAAAGCGUGGGGAGCAAACAGGAUUAGAUACCCUGGUAG
rnacentral:rRNA from 1 species